rnacentral:rRNA from 1 species
GACAGAGGAUGCAAACGUUGCUCGGAUUUACUGGGCGUAAAGCGCGCGCAGGCGGUCCCGUAAGUCGGACGUGAAAGCCCAGGGCUCAACCUUGGAAGUGCGUCUGAUACUGCGAGACUGGAGUACUGGAGAGGAGAGCGGAAUUCCCGGUGUAGAGGUGAAAUUCGUAGAUAUCGGGAGGAACACCAGUGGCGAAGGCGGCUCUCUGGACAGAUACUGACGCUGAGGCGCGAAAGCCAGGGGAGCAAACGGG